CCUACGGGAGGCAGCAGUGGGGAAUAUUGGACAAUGGGCGCAAGCCUGAUCCAGCCAUGCCGCGUGUGUGAAGAAGGCCUUCGGGUUGUAAAGCACUUUUGUCCGGAAAGAAAUCCUUCAACUUAAUACGUUGGGGGGAUGACGGUACCGGAAGAAUAAGCACCGGCUAACUUCGUGCCAGCAGCCGCGGUAAUACGAAGGGUGCAAGCGUUACUCGGAAUUACUGGGCGUAAAGCGUGCGUAGGCGGUUCGUUAAGUCUGACGUGAAAUCCCCGGGCUCAACCUGGGACGUGCGUUGGAAACUGGCGAUCUAGAGUACGGUAGAGGGUGGUGGAAUUCCCGGUGUAGCAGUGAAAUGCGUAGAGAUCGGGAGGAACACUCGUGGCGAAGGCGGCCACCUGGGCCAGUACUGACGCUGAGGCACGAAAGCGUGGGGAGCAAACAGGAUUAGAUACCCUCGUAGUC
rnacentral:rRNA from 1 species